rnacentral:misc_RNA from 1 species
GAUGAAGAACGCAGCGAAAUGCGAUAAGUAAUGUGAAUUGCAGAAUUCAGUGAAUCAUCGAAUCUUUGAACGCACAUUGCGCCCGCCGGCACUCCGGCGGGCAUGCCUGUCCGAGCGUCAUUUCAACCCUCAGGCCCGAACCCCCCCGGGGGGGCGGGCCUGGUGUUGGGGCUCGGGGUCCGCGAGGCCCCCGUCCCCUAAAUCCAGUGGCGGUCGCGCCGCACCCUCCCCUGCGUAGUAGCACACCUCGCACCGGAGAGCAGCGCGUCCACGCCGUGAAACCCCCAACUUACCAAGGUUGACCUCGGAUCAGGUAGGAAUACCCGCUGAACUUAAGCAUAUCAAUAAGCGGAGGA